rnacentral:rRNA from 1 species
CCUACGGGAGGCAGCAGUAGGGAAUAUUGCUCAAUGGGGGAAACCCUGAAGCAGCAACGCCGCGUGGAGGAUGAAGGUUUUCGGAUUGUAAACUCCUUUUGUUAGAGAAGAUAAUGACGGUAUCUAACGAAUAAGCACCGGCUAACUCCGUGCCAGCAGCCGCGGUAAUACGGAGGGUGCAAGCGUUACUCGGAAUCACUGGGCGUAAAGAGAGCGUAGGCGGGAUAGCAAGUCAGAUGUGAAAUCCUAUGGCUUAACCAUAGAACUGCAUUUGAAACUGGUAUUCUAGAGUAUGGGAGAGGUAGGUAGAAUUCUUGGUGUAGGGGUAAAAUCCGUAGAGAUCAAGAGGAAUACUCAUUGCGAAGGCGACCUGCUAGAACAUAACUGACGCUGAUGCGCGAAAGCGUGGGGAGCAAACAGGAUUAGAUACCCCUGUAGUC